GUUUUGUUCGUCUCAUCAGACUCUUCAUUUAGCUUUGACUCCAUAUAUGCUGCUAAUUCGGCCUUCAGGUUUACUAGUAAGGUAGAGGCCGUUUCUAGUUUCGACUUGAGAUCCUUCGAUAAUAUGAACUGUUCGUUAAGUCGCUGAACUUCAGCUUCGGCUUGCUUCAAUUCGUUCUCCCAGUUCAGACAAUCUUGCUCUCUCGCCAAGGCCGCGCCAAUCCUAU
rnacentral:misc_RNA from 1 species